rnacentral:rRNA from 1 species
UCCGGAGGAUGCAAGCGUUGCUCGGAAUUAUUGGGCGUAAAGGGUAGGUAGGUGGUCUCAUUUGUCUGGGGUGAAAGCCUUGAGCUUAACUCAAGAAGUGCCCCAGAAACGGUGAGACUGGAGUCCUGGAGAGGGUCGUGGAAUUCCCGGUGUAGCGGUGAAAUGCGUAGAGAUCGGGAGGAACACCAGAGGCGAAAGCGGCGACCUGGACAGGAACUGACACUCAACUACGAAAGCGUGGGGAGCAAACAGG